AUUUGGUCAACUGAACCAAAAUUUCAAUUUCCACAAUGCUAAUAUUUAUUCUGCUGGAACAAUCAGCUACAGCUAACUGCCAAUUCUUCAGUCUGAAUAACUUGUUCAGGUGGAGGACGGUCAGAAGAGGGCACCACUAGUCACCGAGAACACUAGUUCGCUAUUCCUAGAGCAGUACUAUACAGGGACUUCAGUGAGUCAUAAGCUCAGUUAGUUGUCAACUUUGGAGAAGUGGGAAGCUAAGAAUAACUGAACACCUAGUUAUUAUGUA
rnacentral:lncRNA from 1 species